rnacentral:rRNA from 1 species
AUUGAACGCUAGCGGGAUGCCUUACACAUGCAAGUCGAACGGAGUGGCGCACGGGUGAGUAAUUUAUCGGUACGUGCCCAGUCGCGGGGGAUAACUACGCGCAAGCGUAGCUCAUCCCGCAUCCUAUUUGCGCGGCCGAUAUGGGAUUAGCUAGUUGGUGGGGUAACGGCUCACCAAGGCGACGAUCCGUAGCUGGUUUGAGCGGAAGACCUGCAACACUGGGACGGAGACACGGCCCAGACUCCUACGGUAGGCAGCAGUGGGGAAUUUUGGACAAUGGGGGAAACCCUGAUCCAGCCAGCCCGCGUGUGAGAGGAAGGCCUUCGGGUUGUAAAGCACUUUUGGCAGGAGAGCGGUACCUGCAGAAUAAGCACCGGCUAACUACGUGCCAGCCGCCGCGGUAAUAC